GACGAACGCCGUUUGCGUGCUUAACACAUGCAAGUCGAACGGAAAGGCCCUGCUUUUGUGGGGUGCUCGAGUGGCGAACGGGUGAUUAACACGUGAGUAACCUGCCCUUGACUUUGGGAUAACUUCAGGAAACUGGGGCUAAUACCGGAUAGGAGCUCCUGCUGCAUGGUGGGGGUUGGAAAGUUUCGGCGGUUGGGGAUGGACUCGCGGCUUAUCAGCUUGUUGGUGGGGUAGUGGCUUACCAAGGCUUUGACGGGUAGCCGGCCUGAGAGGGUGACCGGCCACAUUGGGACUGAGAUACGGCCCAGACUCCUACGGGAGGCAGCAGUGGGGAAUAUUGCACAAUGGGCGGAAGCCUGAUGCAGCAACGCCGCGUGCGGGAUGACGGCCUUCGGGUUGUAAACCGCUUUCGCCUGUGACGAAGCGUGAGUGACGGUAAUGGGUAAAGAAGCACCGGCUAACUACGUGCCAGCAGCCGCGGUGAUACGUAGGGUGCGAGCGUUGUCCGGAUUUAUUGGGCGUAAAGGGCUCGUAGGUGGUUGAUCGCGUCGGAAGUGUAAUCUUGGGGCUUAACCCUGAGCGUGCUUUCGAUACGGGUUGACUUGAGGAAGGUAGGGGAGAAUGGAAUUCCUGGUGGAGCGGUGGAAUGCGCAGAUAUCAGGAGGGACACCAGUGGCGAAGGCGGUUCUCUGGGCCUUUCCUGACGCUGAGGAGCGAAAGCGUGGGGAGCGAACAGGCUUAGAUACCCUGGUAGUCCACGCUGUAAACGGUGGGUACUAGGUGUGGGGUCCAUUCCACGGGUUCCGUGCCGUAGCUAACGCUUUAAGUACCCCGCCUGGGGAGUACGGCCGCAAGGCUAAAACUCAAAGGAAUUGACGGGGCCCCGCACAAGCGGCGGAGCAUGCGGAUUAAUUCGAUGCAACGCGUAGAACCUUACCUGGGUUUGACAUGGAUCGGGAGUGCUCAGAGAUGGGUGUGCCUCUUUUGGGGUCGGUUCACAGGUGGUGCAUGGCUGUCGUCAGCUCGUGUCGUGAGAUGUUGGGUUAAGUCCCGCAACGAGCGCAACCCUUGUUCACUGUUGCCAGCACGUUAUGGUGGGGACUCAGUGGAGACCGCCGGGGUCAACUCGGAGGAAGGUGGGGAUGACGUCAAGUCAUCAUGCCCCUUAUGUCCAGGGCUUCACGCAUGCUACAAUGGCUGGUACAGAGAGUGGCGAGCCUGUGAGGGUGAGCGAAUCUCGGAAAGCCGGUCUCAGUUCGGAUUGGGGUCUGCAACUCGACCUCAUGAAGUCGGAGUCGCUAGUAAUCGCAGAUCAGCAACGCUGCGGUGAAUACGUUCCCGGGGCU
rnacentral:rRNA from 1 species